GCUGGGCAUGGUGGUACACGCCUGUAAUCCCAGCUACUUGGGAGGCUAAGGCAGAAGGAUCACAAGUUUGAGGUCAGCCUGGACAGUAUACUGAGAUCCUGUCUCAA
rnacentral:sRNA from 1 species